UUACAAUAGCCACCUGCAAGGUACGCUUACUGGUCGCUGACUGUUCGUUGAUCAGUUCGCUUAAGCGAAAACAUGGUUCGCUUAAGCGAUCGAGUUCCAGUAGCUACCAGUAAGGUUCACUUACUUGCUCGUUUACAUGUCGCUUAAGUGACCUGAACCCAGAAAAUACUAUGAAUGUUCGCUUACCAGUCGCUUAAGCGAACCCUUAAGGGAACGUUCACAGUUUUGCAGAAAAUGUUACGGGUUUCAACCCCUUUUUAUCCAAAAUCCCCAAUUUUGAUCCCUCAAUGCCAAAAUGUGUUUCCAGAUGAUGUUUACAGGUCAAUAUGACCAAAAAGACUCACAAAGACUCAACAAACAUGAAAACAAUUGACAUUAGGACCAAUUCACCAAUUUUCACCAAACCACCAACAACAUCUCAUUUCUCAACAACAAAUCAUGAAUCAUGCAUACCCAAGCCAAAAAUUAUCAUCAACAUCACUUAGCAACAACAACAUCAAUUGAUCAUGAAACUUAUCACAAUUCAACAUCAACAUAGCAUAAUUCAACCAAUUGAGCAUAAUUUCAACUCAUAUCAUUUUCUCAUACUUUGAACAUGAAAUUCAACUAACAACAAUGCCAUUAUCCAUAACUUCAUACAUUCAAACAUGUCAUCAUAAUUAGAGCACGAAUUUCAUCAUUUAUGAACAAUUAAUCAAUUCACCCAAUUAAGCACUUUUCGUACAAUAAUUGAAAAAUUGCAAUAAUGAUUAUGAUGAAUUCUAACCCCCUUACCUUAGUUAGAUUAAUCUCCCUAGCUUAGGCUUCAAUUUUGCUCCAAGCUCUCUUCCACUCCUUGAUUCUUCAAGUUCCCCUUCUCUCUAACCCUUCUCCUAUUGCUCCCACUUUCUCUCUCUAACUCUCUCAAAAAUAUAUCUUGUGAAAUGAAAGUGUGACGAAAUUUCCUCUAAGACAAGGUUUUUAUAGUAUGUCCCCUUAAUGGGCCUAACCCUAAAGCUUAAUGGAUUUAACCCAUUCCAACUCAAAUUUAAAAUGUUUCUACACACAACGGUAAAUCACCAAUAACGGUCAACUAACGGUAAAACACUACCAACGGUCACUUAUCGGUAAAAUAUUAAUUAUUACUCUAGUAACUUAGCAAAAUAACGGUUCCCACUAAAUACUAAAAAUAAUCCUCACCAAAAUUUAUAAUCUAAUCGUUCUCACAAAAAGACCAAAAUACCCCCAAGUCCAAAAUGACUAAAUUACCCUUCUAACACGAAAACCCAUGAAAAUGCACCCAACGAUGAAUGAUCACACACAAGCACAUAUAAACACAUAAAUAAACAAUUAAAAAUAAAUUUAGCAAAAAUCGGGCUAUUACACAAGUUAUUGUCACUACUGUUUCUCUGCCCCACAAUAUGAUUACUAUAG
rnacentral:lncRNA from 1 species